AAAGACCAAGUAAUUAUGCUAGAAGGAAAAGAAGGAAUGAAUCUGGAUCAAGUAAGAGCACAUUGACACGCCAUAUAAGAAUUCUGACAGGCUAAGUGUGGGGAAGAUGGACACAAUAAACAAGGCUGUAAAAAUUUGUGUGGGGAGUCAACCUAAAAGGCCAAGAGAACGACCAAAAAAACAGGUUUGUAUGUUGUUGAGAUUUUCAUUUGAAUUUGAUAAAUUUUAUUUUUGUUUGUCUCAUACAUUUUCUUUUAUUUUUGAAUUAGGGAGAAGUUUCACAAGCACAAGGCUAAUCACAAGGACAAGAUUUUCCACUAGAAAUUGAGUGUUGAAAUUGAUUUGUAUUCUAUUGUGUAAUGACUGUGUAAUGAUUUGUUGGGUUAUCACUCUUUCUGAACUCGUUUUGGAUCAUGUAAUGGUUAGGUAGUAUGCUUUGUUAUGGUUUUUUGUUAUCACUGGUUCACGUUUAAUAUCAAUCAAGUUAUUGCUAAAAUAUACCAUAAAGAAAGACAAAACUAAUGAAAUAGAAAAGAAUUAUUUCAUUAACUUAACACUGAUUAAUUAAGUAACGUCUAAUUAAUAGUUUUUAAAAGAGAAAUGGAGAAACGACAUACAAGAGAUCUGCAGCAUGGCGCAAGGAGUACCGUCAAGCAUGGAUCCGCUAGGGCGGCUCAGGUGAUACAGUCAGACGUGAAUCUUCAUAAGGCAGGUAGAAUUGUCGGCUGUAGAAUCGUCUUGUAAUAUUUCUCAGAAUUUGUAAUAGCAUAAUAUAUUCAGCGUUAAAAAAAUUAAUAUUUUUUAAAGUCCAGUUAACUAAUCUGACGAUAUGCCUAAUUUGGUAGUCAACGAAAGUUUGUGAUUUAAAAGAAAAGUCGAUAAAAACUUUGAUGUUUUAAUUUGUUAUAGAAGAAUUCAUUAAUUUAAUAGCCAUAAUUUGAAAUUUUGCGAUUUUAAUGAACAUUUUCCCAAAGAAAAAUGCCUAUAAAGAAUUAUUUAAGUUUGAUAUAAAUAUUGUUAUUUUACUUAUAGUUUCAACCACAUCAUCAGCAGUAAGCACCAUAAUCAUCUAUACUAUACUAAAAGGAGAAUAAGAUGAGUGGUGAGAGUGUCCACGUCCUCACUUUAAAUCAGCCAAUGGGAUUGGUUCUUUUCUCCACGUGUUACUCUCCAAUUUCUUCAUCUCACGUUUACAAAACUCUCGCUCUCUAGAUUAUUAACAAUUUGCAAAAGGCCUUUAACUAGCCCAAAACAUUUCCCGAAAAUCUGUACAGCCACGUCCUUCCAUCUUCUUCUACUCGCGAAACCCCAAAUUUCCUGCCGCUCCGGAUUUCUGGUGUAACUUUCUGCCUGAAUAAUUAAGCUUCAUCAAAUCUAUGUUAAUGGCUUCUGCAAUCAAAACCUACUUGCCGAUAGAAUUUCCAUGCCUUCGCCCUAUAUAUAUAUCACUCUGUUACAGUCUACAAAAAAAUCCUUCACUUCCAUGACCAACAAAUCAGCAAUAUCAUCCUCCACAUUCACUACGCUAUGUUCUUCAGUUAUGUUCUUCUCGGCUUGGUAGAGGCAAAGCUUCUAUUUAGGAUCAUCCAUUUUUGGGAUCCCAGAGCACAGCGAGAGGAUACAUGCUUAUUGGUCUGGAUAUAAGGAGAGGAGGCGGAUUCAAAAUGCAUGUUCUUUCGACUACUGCAAAGAGAUUUCGUUUAUUUAUAGGAACUUCUAGCCGAAACAUGGAAGACCUUGAAAGUAUAUCGAAGGCUUGGUUCGAUUUUUGGAAAGAACGCUGAGGUGGAAACAUCUAGCUCCCAUUUCACAAACAACACCCGCAAUGAUACGACGGUUGACGCUUUCGACAGUUUUGUCUGCAAAAAUGGAGCCGGAAACCAUAUUCUGGGAGCUGUCUUUGUUGAUCUCGAGACCAUUGUCAUCUAUGAAAUCUACCGGGACUUACUAGCAGCUUUUCAAUCAUGAGUAACUUAUCUCUGGGAACAACUUCGCCAAUGUUGGAAAGGAGAUUGUGGACCUUUGUCUUAACAGUGUCAGAGAUCUUGCCGACAACUAUACAUGCUUGCAAGGGGUUAUUGGUCUUUAAUGCUGGUGGUGGAGUAACUGGUUCUGGUUUGGGAUAUCUGUUGUUAGAACCUUUGUCUGUAGAUUAAGGAAAUAAGUCGAAACUUGGAUCCACCAUAUAUCCUUCUCCUCAGGUUUGUACUGCUGUUAUAGGUACCUUACAACGGUGUUCUCUUGCUGCCUUCGCUACUUUAAAAAUCUCUCAUAUUUCCUAAAUUUUGCAAGCUCGGUGUUGCGGUUGUAGUGCAUUGAAGUUUGAGCUAAUGAUCUCCCUCAAAUGUCGGCAAAGAUUUUGACAGGGAUUCAUGUGGGCGAGAAAGUCUUAUUCCUAAGGAUUCAGUUAUUCGCAAAUGACAAUAUGCAUCCGUUCAUAUUCCAAAAGAGGCAAUACCACCAAUAAGAGUAUGUUAUGCACAGGUUGCCCUCAAUCUCCCAAGACCAGUUUGUAGGCAUGGUCAGUUGUUUGUGGCUCUCUCACGACUCACAAAGCCUGUGAGAAUAAAAAUACUUGAUAAUACGGAAGCUACAAGUAAGAUUUCACUUUCUAACAAUAUAACUUAAUAUAUCAGCCUGGCUUUUUAACAUACAUUGCAGGAAACAGCUUGGAUAGGAGUCCAGUUUCAUAACAACGACGAGCAAAACUACUCAUUGGGAAGACACCGAAACAGUCAAACACAUUGUUAGGAAUAGCUAUGUCUGAGACGCUUUGAAAUGUUAUAGAGAACUUGCAUAUUUUAGUUUAUUUACGAUAACGAAACAGAGCCACAAGUACGUGGUGAUGCAUUUUUUAUUAAGGAUAAGAAGGAUUAAAAUAUUAGACAGCUUAA